UAGUGAGAGUAAAGCCAGAAUAUUUUAAUAAGUCGUCAUUUUCGACUGAAUCGAUGAUUAAUACCAUUAAAUAUGAUUUAAAAUUAUUUGAAAUUUUCACAAAUUAAAUUUUAAAAAUUUUUGAUAUUAUUUAUUUCGUGAGCAAGUGGUCUAAAAAACUAUCAAAUUUGAAAUUAUCUGAAUACUCGACAAGUAAUGACUGUAAAAUCGUGAUAUUUGAAACUUAAAAAGGCUCAAAUAGUAUAGAUUAAAGGCAGAAUUGAAAAAAAAUCUCCUUACAAAUAUCCGUUUUUAACUUUUCCUCCAUAACUUUCAAAAACAUAUAUGUUACCCCCUCAACAUUUUUAAGUUAUUGUAUUUAGUCAUUCUCCGUUAGGUUUCAUUACUAUUCGGUCUAUUUCUUAUAAUUUAUACCGAAAGUAUCAUUCAAAAUGACAUAAAUAUAUUAAAAAAUUAUUUUGUUCUUACAGAAAAGUAAGGAUAAUUUGGUCAUUUUUGCCCUCUCUAUUAAUGCUGUACCUCUUCAAAAUAUUUCUAAAAUUUUAGAAAAAAAUUUUAAAAAUUAGAAAGAAAGAGUAAAAAAACAGAUAUUUACAUGAAUAUUAUCUGUAAUUUAGUGUAACUUAAAUUUAAAAGUGUUGACCAUCGAUUUGGAUAUCUUUACCCUCGAAAAUGACACAAAAGUAUCCAGUUUU
rnacentral:lncRNA from 1 species